UACGUAGGGUGCGAGCGUUGUCCGGAAUUACUGGGCGUAAAGAGCUCGUAGGUGGUUUGUCGCGUUGUUCGUGAAAACUCACAGCUCAACUGUGGGCGUGCGGGCGAUACGGGCAGACUGGAGUACUGCAGGGGGAGACUGAAUUCCUGGUGUAGCGGUGGAAUGCGCAGAUAUCAGGAAGAACACCGGUGGCGAAGGCGGCAUCCUGGACCAAAAACUGACGCUGAAUAGCGAAAAGCCCAGGGGGAGCAAAACGGGG
rnacentral:rRNA from 1 species